rfam:Octopus bimaculoides Scaffold127845_contig_1, whole genome shotgun sequence.
AUAUGCUUCAUCAGUAAGUAUACUAAAAUUGGAAUGAUACAGAUAUUAGCAUGGCCCCUGCCCAAGGAUGACAGGCAAAUUUGUGAAUCAUUUCAUACUUUU